AUCUCUACGCAUUUCACCGCUACACCUGGAAUUCUACCCCCCUCUACAAGACUCCAGCCUGCCAGUUUCGAAUGCAGUUCCCAGGUUGAGCCCGGGGAUUUCACAUCCGACUUGACAGACCGCCUGCGUGCGCUUUACGCCCAGUAAUUCCGAUUAACGCUUGCACCCUCCGUAUUACCGCGGCUGCUGGCACGGAGUUAGCCGGUGCUUCUUCUGCGGGUAACGUCAAUNAACAAGGUUAUUAACCUUANUNCCUUCCUCCCCGCUGAAAGUACUUUACAACCCGAAGGCCUUCUUCAUACACGCGGCAUGGCUGCAUCAGGCUUGCGCCCAUUGUGCAAUAUUCCCCACUGCUGCCUCCCGUAGGAGUCUGGACCGUGUCUCAGUUCCAGUGUGGCUGGUCAUCCUCUCAGACCAGCUAGGGAUCGUCGCCUAGGUGAGCCGUUACCCCACCUACUAGCUAAUCCCAUCUGGGCACAUCUGAUGGCAAGAGGCCCGAAGGUCCCCCUCUUUGGUCUUGCGACGUUAUGCGGUAUUAGCUACCGUUUCCAGUAGUUAUCCCCCUCCAUCAGGCAGUUUCCCAGACAUUACUCACCCGUCCGCCACUCGUCACCCGAGAGCAAGCUCUCUGUGCUACCGUUCGACUUGCAUGUGUUAGGCCUGCCGCCAGCGUUCAAUCUGAGCCANGAUCAAACU
rnacentral:rRNA from 1 species